UACGUAGGGGGCAAGCGUUGUCCGGAUUACUGGGCGUAAAGAGCGUGUAGGCGGCCAUGUAGGUCCGUUGUGAAAACUCGAGGCUCAACCUCGAGACGCCGAUGGAAACCAUGUGGCUAGAGUCCGGAAGAGGCGAGUGGAAUUCCUGGUGUAGCGGUGGAAUGCGCAGAUAUCAGGAGGAACACCAAUAGCGAAGGCAGCUCGCUGGGACGGUACUGACGCUGAGGCGCGAAAGCGUGGGGAGCAAACAGG
rnacentral:rRNA from 1 species